GAUGAACGCUGGCGGCGUGCUUAACACAUGCAAGUCGAACGGUGAAGGCGGAGCUUGCUCUGCUGGAUCAGUGGCGAACGGGUGAGUAACACGUGAGCAAUCUGCCCCUGACUCUGGGAUAAGCGCUGGAAACGGCGUCUAAUACUGGAUACGAGCUGCGAAGGCAUCUUCAGCAGCUGGAAAGAACUUUGGUCAGGGAUGAGCUCGCGGCCUAUCAGCUUGUUGGUGAGGUAACGGCUCACCAAGGCGUCGACGGGUAGCCGGCCUGAGAGGGUGACCGGCCACACUGGGACUGAGACACGGCCCAGACUCCUACGGGAGGCAGCAGUGGGGAAUAUUGCACAAUGGGCGAAAGCCUGAUGCAGCAACGCCGCGUGAGGGACGACGGCCUUCGGGUUGUAAACCUCUUUUAGCAGGGAAGAAGCGAAAGUGACGGUACCUGCAGAAAAAGCGCCGGCUAACUACGUG
rnacentral:rRNA from 1 species